rnacentral:lncRNA from 1 species
AGGCUGCCAGAUUUCACAGAAUUAAAAUACAUUUUAUACCAACUCUUAAACUAUGUCAUUGGCAUGCAAACCUGAGAACUUAAAAUACAGUGCAUCAAAUCUAAUAAUCCUUGUACUUGCCUAACAAAUGCAAAUCUUCAGAUCCUCUACAAAUGUUUUUCUUUCAGGAAAGAACCCAAUGACCAUAUUGUCAGUGCUGAGGUUUUUACGGGGUCUGUGUCCUGUAGCCCAGAGUGUCAGUGUCAUCAUGGGAUGUGAGCCUCUGUCCCAGCGUGGGAAGUGAACUCCUGACCCAGCUUACAAAUAAAAAUGCUUCCCAAAAUAAUCUGGACA